CGAGCCGGCCGGAUGGCCGCGGCACGGGGACCAGCGCGGCAUGCGCCCGGCCCGGCGCCGAGGAAAGUCCGGACUCCGCAGGGCGCGGUGGUUGCCAACGGCAACCCGGGGCGACCCGCGGGACAGUGCCACAGAAAGGAAACCGCCCGGGCGGCGGCGGGGGAGACCCCGCCGCGCGGACCCGGGUAAGGGUGAAAGGGUGCGGUAAGAGCGCACCAGCGCCGCGGGUGACCGCGGCGGCUCGGUAAACCCCACCGGGAGCAAGGCGAGAGGGUGCACCGCGGCGGUCGCCGGGGUGCGCCUGCCCGGACGUUCGAGGGCGGCCCGCCCGAGUCCGGGGGUCAGCCGCUUGAGGCGCCCAGCGAUGGUGCGCCCAGAUGGAUGGCCAUCACCCGCCGCGGCCGAAAGGCGCGGCGGGGACAGAAUCCGGCUUAGAGGCCGGCUCGUUCA
rnacentral:RNase_P_RNA from 2 species